UACGGAAGGGGCAAGCGUUGUUCGGAAUCAUUGGGCGUAAAGGGCGCGUAGGUGGUUCUGUAUGUCUAUCGUGAAAGCAUACAGCUCAACUGUAUUUUGUCGGUAGAAACUGCAGGACUUGAGGCUGGGAGGGGCUGGUGGAAUUCCCUGUGUAGCGGUGAAAUGCGUAGAGAUGGGGGAGAACACGCGUGGCGAAGGCGGCCAGCUAGACCAGUUCUGACACUGAGGCGCGACAGCGUGGGGAGCAAACAGG
rnacentral:rRNA from 1 species